rnacentral:misc_RNA from 1 species
CGUCAUUUCAACCCUCAAGCCCCAGCGGCUUGGUGUUGGGGACCGGCCCCGGCCGCCCCCCAAAUGCAGUGGCGACCUCGCCGCAGCCUCCCCUGCGUAGUAGCACAACUCGCACCGGAGCGCGGAGACGGUCACGCCGUAAAAACGCCCAACUUCUCAGAGUUGACCUCGGAUCAGGUAGGAAUACCCGCUGAACUUAA